rnacentral:rRNA from 1 species
GGCGGACGGGUGAGUAACGCGUGGGCAACCUGCCCUCUAGUCAGGGAUAACAGAGCGAAAGAGCUGCUAAUACCGGAUAAAGUAGCAUGAUGGCAUCAUCAAGCGAACAAAAGAAAUGCUAGAGGAUGGGCCCGCGUCCCAUUAGCUAGUUGGUGAGGUAAAGGCUCUCCAAGGCGACGAUGGGUAGCCGACCUGAGAGGGUGACCGGCCACACUGGGACUGAGACACGGCCCAGACUCCUACGGGAGGCAGCAGUAGGGAAUUUUCCGCAAUGGGCGAAAGCCUGACGGAGCAACGCCGCGUGAGGGAAGAAGGUUUUCGGAUCCUAAACCUCUGUCUUUGGGGACGAUAAUGACGGUACCCGAGGAGGAAGCCAAGGCUAACUACGUGCCAGCAGCCGCGGUAAUACGUAGGUGGCAAGCGUUGUCCGGAAUUACUGGGCGUAAAGGGCGUGUAGGCGGCUGGUUAAGUUAGAUGUGAAAGGCCGGGGCUUACCCCUGGAAAUGCAUUUAAAACUGGCAGGCUUGAGGACCGGAGAGGGAAGUGGAAUUCCCAGUAUAGCAGUGAAAUGCGUAGAGAUUGGGAAGAACCCCAGUGGCGAAGGCGACUGC